AUAUCAAUUAUUUAAAUCAGCGGAUUAAGAUAGCUUUUACUAUAUCAAUGUUAUCUUGGGAUUUAUUUUUGUGGUUUGAAAUGUAUCUUCUGUUUUUACUAAAGUUGAGAGUUGACUUCCUUUUAGAGUUUUGAGGAGGUCUUUUCAGGUUUACAGAAAUAAUCUGAAAUAACAAGGAAGCAAAUUUGGCAUUGACACUGGAAAAUUGGCCUGGAAAAGUGGUAGAGAGCAACGUUUCAGUUUUGUCUAGUCUUGGCAGGGACUCUAUGACCUAGGUCUAUACAGGCAAGAGAAAAAGAAAGCAUUAUUUGCAUCUUCUUUAGUUUUUGAUUUCCCAGUACAGUCUAUAUUAUCAAUCCUAAUAUCCUAAAUGUGUCUGUCCUUUUUGUUUUCAAAGUAAUUCCAUAUACUUCAUAACUAUCAAUGUUUUAGGACAAUUAUAAGAAGCAAGUAUAGUAUUCUGGAAAUUUGUAGGGCACUCAUUUUGCUUAAUGUAACUAAGCCAGUGGACCAACAAUGGAUAAUGAUAUGUCCUGUAUUCAUGGCCAACUUUGUUUGGUGGGAUUGGGAACAACCGGACAGUGUGGUAUGUAUUUUAUCCAUUUUUUAACUCCCAGAAUUGCAAGCCUCACAAUAGUGUUAGGUUAGUAAAUA
rnacentral:lncRNA from 1 species